GGAAGCGGCGGGUCUCCAUGGCGGUGGCGGCGGCAGCGGCGGCGGGACCCGUGUUCUGGAGACGACUGCUGGGCCUCCUGCCUGGCCGUCCAGGGCUGGCCGCGCUCCUGGGACGCCUGUCCGACCGCCUCGGCAGGAACCGGGACCGCCAGCGCAGGAGAGUCUUGUUCUGUCGCUCAGGCUGGAAUGCAGUGGUGUGAUCUCGGCUCAGUGCCACCUCCACCUCCUGGGUUCAAGUGAUUGUCCUGCCUCGGCCUCCAGAGUAGCUGGGUCUACGGACACAUGCCACCACGCCUGGCUAAUUUUUCUGUUCCCCAGGUCACCUCCCCACCUUGCUGCCUGUGUCCAGAAGGCGUGCACCGGUUCCAGUGGAUCAGAAACCUGGUUCCAGAAUUUGGAGUCUCCAGUUCUCAUGUCAGGGUGCUUUCUUCCCCGGCAGAGUUUUUUGAGCUCAUGAAGGGGCAGAUAAGAGUAGCCAAGAGGCGGGUCGUGAUGGCAUCCCUCUACCUGGGGACAGGUCCUUUGGAACAGGAGCUG
rnacentral:sRNA from 1 species